rnacentral:lncRNA from 1 species
AGGUUAUGCAAGAGAAGCGGGGCAGGUGAGAGUGCAGGAUCGGGGAGGCUGAAUUCCAACUGUGGAGGAGCCAGCAGUGAUGGUCAAUCUCACACUUCAAAAAAUUUGCCCCCUGCUGUCCUCCUCUGGCAUGAUAGGUGUGUGGCCUACACGUGGGCAAAUCAGAUCAUCUGCAACGGUGUUUCUCAACCCCAGCACUGCUGGCAAUUUGGGUACCUGGAAAUUAAUACUUCUUGAAAACGGUUACCACCAUGGAGGGAGCUGCAUCUUCCAUUCUUACUAAUAGAAAAUGAUCGUUUGCUUUGAAGCAGUUAACGGAGAUACAUAAAAAACAAGAGAAGAGGAGAUGAGGAUGAAGAACCAGUAGUGACUUACAGUGCACAUGUGUUGUGAUGAUGAUUAAGUUUCAGUAUACAUCAUUCCACAUUUAUAGAUGAAUGUGCCCUGAACAGGAGAGAGGUUCCGCACCCAUUCUGGGAGUGGUGUCAUCAGUAUGGAACACUGCAUCACCAUGAAGGCAUGAGGUGUGAAAGUGUUGGGACACUCUUCUUUUCCUGCUCUUGGACAUCAGAACUCCAGGCUCUCCAGCGUUUGGACUCCAGGAUUUGCACCAGUGGUCCCAGGUUCUCAGUCCUCAAGCCUCAGACUUAGAGUUACAACAUCAGCUUCCCUGUUUUUGAGGCCUUUAGGCUUGGACUGAGCCAUGCUACUGUCAUCCUAAGGUCUCUAGCUUGCAGAUUAUCUGCCUGGGACUUAAACUUCGUAAUCAUGAACCAGUUCCCCUAAUAAAUUCCCUCUUAGGCAUCUAUAUCUCUAUCUGUGUCUACAUCUAUCUAUCUCUGAUAGGUUCUGUCUCUCUGGAGAAUCUAAUAUCUAUAUUAUAUUCACAAAUUUAAAUACGAAUGGCACAACUAUAUUAAGGUUACAUAAGUGAGGCUACAUACUGCAAAAUUCAAAAUAAAAUCAGUAUCCAAAAUUACACAUAAUUUAUAGAAAUUUUUUUGUAUUCUUCUCUAUAAAAUGGGGAUAACAUUAUCUAGGGCAUUGUAUUACUAUCAAAAUUAAAUAAGAUAUUGCAGGAGAGUAUUUAGAAGUGCUGGAUGAUGUUUCUAUUCUUGUUAUUGCUGAUUUUUUUUCUUAUUAUUAUUGAUAUUCAUAUAGUCAUCUUUAUGGAUGUUGGAAAGGCAUGGGACAUCAUCUGCUCCUGAUUAAAACACAAUUUUAUUUACCUAGAAAUAGAGGAAUUCUUCCUAAUCAUAUGUCCCAAGGAGCUACUACUUGUUUAUCAUGAGAACCUUGUACAGUGUCUGGCACAGAGUAGUUAUUCAAUAAAAGUUUGUUGAACCCAAC